rnacentral:rRNA from 1 species
AGGACGAACGCUGGCGGCGUGCCUAACACAUGCAAAUCGAACGAGGUCCAACCGGUGGCAACACUGGUGAAGACCGAGUGGCGAACGGGUGAGUAACACGUGAGCAACCUGCCUCGAAGACUGGGAUAACCCCGGGAAACCGGAGCUAAUACCGGAUACCCCCACCGGGUCGCAUGGCCUGGUGAGGAAAUGGAUUCCGCUUUGAGAGGGGCUCGCGGCCUAUCAGCUUGAUGGUGGGGUAAUGGCCUACCAUGGCACCGACGGGUAGCUGGUCUGAGAGGACGAUCAGCCACACUGGGACUGAGACACGGCCCAGACUCCUACGGGAGGCAGCAGUGGGGAAUCUUGCGCAAUGGGCGAAAGCCUGACGCAGCAACGCCGCGUGUGGGACGAAGGCCUUCUGGGUUGUAAACCACUUUCAGCAGGGACGAUUGUGACGGUACCUGCAGAAGAAGCCCCGGCAACUACGUGCCAGCAGCCGCGGU